AGAGUUUGAUCCUGGCUCAGGACGAACGCUGGCGGCGUGCCUAACACAUGCAAGUCGAACGGAGUAAAACGCUGAAUUGAUGUAAGCUUGCUUAUGGAUUUUCUUGUUUUACUUAGUGGCGGACGGGUGAGUAACGCGUGAGUAACCUGCCUUACAGAGGGGGACGACAGUUGGAAACGACUGCUAAUACCGCAUAAUAUAGCGAGAGGGCAUCCUCUUGUUAUCAAAGGAGCAAUCCGCUGUAAGAUGGACUCGCGUCCAAUUAGAUAGUUGGUGGGGUAACGGCCCACCAAGUCGACGAUUGGUAGCCGGACUGAGAGGUUGAACGGCCACAUUGGGACUGAGACACGGCCCAGACUCUUACGGGAGGCAGCAGUGGGGGAUAUUGCACAAUGGGGGAAACCCUGAUGCAGCAACGCCGCGUGAGGGAAGAAGGUUUUCGGAUUGUAAACCUCUGUUUUUAGUGAAGAAACAAAUGACGGUAGCUAAAGAGGAAGCCACGGCUAACUACGUGCCAGCAGCCGCGGUAAUACGUAGGGGGCAAGCGUUAUCCGGAUUUACUGGGUGUAAAGGGAGCGUAGACGGUUAAGUAAGUCUGAAGUGAAAGCCCGGGGCUCAACCCCGGGACUGCUUUGGAAACUAUUUAACUGGAGUGCAGGAGAGGUAAGUGGAAUUCCUAGUGUAGCGGUGAAAUGCGUAGAUAUUAGGAGGAACACCAGUGGCGAAGGCGGCUUACUGGACUGUAACUGACGUUGAGGCUCGAAAGCGUGGGGAGCAAACAGGAUUAGAUACCCUGGUAGUCCACGCCGUAAACGAUGAUUACUAGGUGUCGGGGGGUUAUGACCCUUUCGGUGCCGCAGCAAACGCAAUAAGUUAAUCCCCCUGGGGAGUACGUUUGCCAAGAAUGAAACUUCAAAGGAAUUGACGGGGACCCGCACAAGCGGUGGAGCAUGUGGUUUAAUUCGAAGCAACGCGAAGAACCUUACCAAAUCUUGACAUCCCAAUGACCGACUAUAUAAUGUAGUUUCUCUUCGGAGCAUUGGUGACAGGUGGUGCAUGGUUGUCGUCAGCUCGUGUCGUGAGAUGUUGGGUUAAGUCCCGCAACGAGCGCAACCCUUGUCUUUAGUAGCCAGCGGCUAGGCCGGGCACUCUAGAGAGACUGCCAGGGAUAACCUGGAGGAAGGUGGGGAUGACGUCAAAUCAUCAUGCCCCUUAUGAUUUGGGCUACACACGUGCUACAAUGGCGUAAACAAAGGGAAGCGACCCCGCGAGGGUGAGCAAAUCUCAAAAAUAACGUCUCAGUUCGGAUUGUAGUCUGCAACUCGACUACAUGAAGCUGGAAUCGCUAGUAAUCGCGAAUCAGAAUGUCGCGGUGAAUACGUUCCCGGGUCUUGUACACACCGCCCGUCA
rnacentral:rRNA from 1 species